rnacentral:rRNA from 1 species
AUUGAACGCUGGCGGCAGGCCUAACACAUGCAAGUCGAACGGUAACAGGAAGCAGCUUGCUGCUUUGCUGACGAGUGGCGGACGGGUGAGUCAUGUCUGGGAAACUGCCUGAUGGAGGGGGAUAACUACUGGAAACGGUAGCUAAUACCGCAUAACGUCGCAAGACCAAAGAGGGGGACCUUCGGGCCUCUUUCCAUCGGAUGUGCCCAGAUGGGAUUAGCUAGUAGGUGGGGUAACGGCUCACCUAGGCGACGAUCCCUAGCUGGUCUGAGAGGAUGACCAGCCACACUGGAACUGAGACACGGUCCAGACUCCUACGGGAGGCAGCAGUGGGGAAUAUUGCACAAUGGGCGCAAGCCUGAUGCAGCCAUGCCGCGUGUAUGAAGAAGGCCUUCGGGUUGUAAAGUACUUUCAGCGGGGAGGAAGGGAGUAAAGUUAAUACCUUUGCUCAUUGACGUUACCCGCAGAAGAAGCACCGGCUAACUCCGUG